CCCAGAGCAGAGCGCUGCUGAACACCCAGAAGGUACGCAUGCAGCUUUUAGGCUGCUUGUAGAAGCCAGACCAUAUACUAGGAAGGUACUGCAGCAAGAUGGACUUGGGAAAGGAUCAGUCUCAUUUGCAACUCCAUCAGACACCUGACCGUCGUCAAAGAGAGACCUUUGGUCCAGAAAUCAUUGGAACUUGGAGUUUGCGGAACCGAGAACAACUCAGAAAAAGAAAAGCUGAAGCACAAGAAAAGCAAACUUCACAAUGGGCAUUUGGAGAACAGAAAAAACGCAAGUGGCAGAACACAGGAAGAGGAAAUCAAAGAGGCC